rnacentral:lncRNA from 10 species
CACAAAUGAGAUAAUACAUGUGUGCAGUUGUGAGCCAUCCAUGUGUGGUAAUUUGUUAUGCAACCAUAGAUCACACAUACUGAGAACAUCUGCUCUGAACUACAUUCUUGUGUCUCCCCUCUCCACUUUCAUUGCUGAAGUUCUAACCCCCAAUAUGAUAGUAUUAAUAAGUGGGGCCUUUGGGAGGUGACCAGAUCAUGAGGGUAGAGUCACUAUGAUGGGAUUUGUGCCCUUGUAAAAAAGAUGCCAUAGGCCUUGCUUCUCUUUCUCUGUUCUUUGCCAUGUGAAGAUACAGCAAGAAAAUGGCCAUCUGCAAACCAGAAAGCAGACCCUCUCAAGACGCUGGGUCUACUGGGGUCUGGUUCUUCAAUUCCCAGCCUCCAGAAUGGUAUUGGACUUGCUUGAUACCUGCCACUCCUUCUUUUUCUCGCUUUUGAAAUGGGAAUAUAUAUCCCAUGCCUGGUCCUUCAUUACUUUAUGAAAGGCCUCUGAUUUCACAGGUUCACAGCUGAAGAAAAAUUUUGCAUUAGGAAGAAAUUCCCAAGUCAAGUUUAGAUGACAUUCAGAUGAGACUUUGGAGCUUAGACUUUGGUGUUAAUGUUGAAAUGAGUUCAGACUUUUGGGGCUAUUGACAUGGAAGGAAUAUAUUUUGCAUGUGAGAAGGACAUGAGUUUUGGGGAAGGCCAUGAGCAGAAUGCUGUGAACUGAAUUUCAACACUAAAUGAAAAAGAAAAUGAUGUGUGUGAAAAUUAUUUGUGUUCUAAGGUAUUGUGAGUUGUAGAUUUGUCAUUUGAUUCCCACCUGUGCAUAAAGUCUGUACAUGAUGUGUAUUAAAUAAACAUCUUUAAAAUAA